rfam:Citrus sinensis cultivar Ridge Pineapple sweet orange scaffold02304_contig_2, whole genome shotgun sequence.
AUACCAUGAUGAGAACACCUUCUAAGCAGUUCUUUAAAUCUCUCUCAAGCCUCAUACAAACUCUCGUCUUCCAGUUGAUGAAAGAAAGUGAUCUUAUUCCUCAAUUU